UUCUUGAGCUUUUGUCCUUUUACAGUAACACAGACUAUAUUUGAUGGGCUUUUUCCAGAGGUCUUACCUCUCCUCUUCCCUGAUUUUUUUUUAAUUGCAGUGAGAAUGCAGAAUUCAUUAAUGUGUCCAAACAUAGUACUUUUGGAGAGAACCAUAGCUCAGUAUAUCCUGCAACAUUUUAAUUGCGGUAUAUGGCUAUAGGAUAAACUAUUUUGUUUAAAAAAAAAAAAAGAGGUGAGGAAAGAUCUUAAAUAUGUUGGUAUACAUAUAUGCACCAGAAUUGUCACAAGGAAAGAAGACAGAGGGGAGAAAUUAACUGUUUCCAGCUACCUUUUUUUUUUUUAACAUAACUUUUCCUAAUAGUACACAUUCAACCAAGUUCUUCUGGCAAGGAAAGAAAAGGUAGAGUAGGAGUGGCUAGCAAUUGUAUAUGUCCUAAAGCAAAAUGGGCUGCUAUAAAGAAUGUGUGUUUUCAUUAGGGUUCAAUUUGAGGCUGGGUGAGUGCUCAUCAAGUAAGGCAUAGUGGGGCUUCCUUUUUGACACAAGUUGGACUAUAUGAUCAUUAGUCUGUUUCUGUGCUUGUUUAAGGUUACAUUACUGAUAAUGAUGGAAAAAUCAUUAUGACCAGUAGAAAAAUGUGGUUAUGACUUUUAGCAAACUGAGAAGGUGAAGCAGGUAAGGAAGAAGCCAAAACCAAAGACAGUCAGCAGCCCUUGGAGAUCCCUCCCCACCAGAUACAUAUACAUUAUCCUUGCUUUUGUUACCCUUUCUGAGAAGACUCCGUCCUACCCAGCUCUUUUCAAAGUGUGUCCCAUACUGCUGGGGAAAAUGCCAAAAAAUUCAUUGCAAAAGGGCCUCAUAGAUGUCAUAUAGACUUACUUAGAUGGAUUCUCUUUUUAAUGGGACUGACCUCUGUCAAAGAUGGAUGGGAGCCAGAAACAAUUGAAGAUGCUGCCACUUCGCUGAAAUAUCUUGGGGUUUCUUUCAGGAUGAACUCACUGAAGAACAAGUGACCUGCCCCUCCCCUCCCCUACUCCUAGUCCCCAUUGGAAGGCCACAUACACCUGCCCUGGCUUUUGAAGUUGUAUAUUGCACAGUCAAGUCGGUGGCCUGAUACCAAAUGUAGGCUUGUAGGUCUUAUCAGGUAGUAUAAAUUUGCUUUUGACAUUUAACACUUGAUGGAGCCUAUACCUUGAGAUUGAGUGCUUGAGAUUUCUGCUCUUUCUCACUCCACAAAACAAUCUAAUUAAAUUAGCCCAAUAAUUACAUUGAGAUUGGCAGUCCCCACACAAGCUUGACCUAGAACAAUUCACAGGCCCUUGGAUUUUAAACCACUUGAUUUUUAAGUUCUCUCGAGACUCUUACUAAAAAACCAUUUAUACAUGCAUUAGACUGGAGUGUGGAAGCUUAUGCAGAUUGUCCCAUUUUAUUUGUUCAUUUGAGAAGAAAUCAGAAAAGUAUAAAAGUUGUCUCCUAGGGAGCCCCAGAGGGGUUGUACCUUUUGUGCCAAAUAACGUAGAGAUGCUACCUCUCUAUCUUAUGAUCAUUUCUUCCUUCCUACAAGCAUCUUUAUGUCCCUAAGGAAGUCAAACAAUUAUUUUUGUAUCUUCUGAGAAGCAGAACUAGUCACCUGUUACCUCUAUAGUGUGUCUCAUUCAUGUGAGUGCCUCCAUUUGACUGAAAUACACUUCCCUUGAAUUAAUUGAAAAUAGUAACUUUGAAACUGGAGUAGAAAGACUGCAACAUGUCCUCUAAAUAGCACAUGGAAGGUUUGGGAACCAAGAGAUUUUGGUACUGCUCAAAUGCAUAUAAAAGCUAUUGGGAAGCUGGUUAUUCUACUCUUUUCCUUUUACUGUACCCUUUUCUGCCAUUUUAUAGCUUUCUUCUUUUUAUGUGUUUUUCCUGUUAUCUGGUAGUAAUCGAUGUGUAGUGUUACGCCUCCUUAGCUUAUUUUUCUCAAAUCAAUCCAGAAAGGGGUGUGAACUAAUUAUACACAAUCUCCAUUGGAGGGAUGUGUAUGACUGGGAUUUAGAAAAAUUCCAUCCCCAUUUGUUGGUAGCAAGACCCAUUUAGAUGCUCUAUAGUUCAUUCCAGCAGUUCGUCUAUUAAAAGUUGUAAUACCUGGUUUCCCACUUUUUCACAAGAUUAGGAAAAUCAGUGUGCCGUUUGUGUGUAAGCUAUUGUAGAAAUUCUUAACCUAGGCCCUAUGGACAUUUUGUCUCCAUCUCCCUUCCAUUUCCACCACCCCACCCCACCCCUUUACCUUCAGGAGAAGUUAACCCAAAUGCUUUACCUACAGUACUCUCAGGCUUUUGUGAAGUUAAGUUGUAUUGAUUUCAUGUCAAAAUGGUGGGGAGGGAGAUUAUUUCAUAGCCAGAAAGACGGACUGACUCUUGAGUUGGAGUACUGCCAUGCCUGUGUUCUUAUGCCAUGAUGACCAUUUAUCUUGUACUGGAUUAGCUGAAGGGGAUGCAAGCAGCAAUAUUAAAUGCUUUUUCAGUCCAUUCUUGGUCAUGAGUGAGUCUGCCCUUGCUUUUUACAUUUGACUCUCAGGAGCUGAUUAUGGUGAUAAUUUGCUAUGUGUAUAUAAAAGCCAUAAAGUAUCUGGAGCAGUCUGACAAGAGAAGCCUGGCAGCCAUUACACGCCUCCAAUACAAAAACCUUUUUCUCCAAACAAUUCUUUCCUGAGCUCAGAAAUGGAUUUCCCUCUAGCCCCUGUCAUUCAAUUAUCACCUCGGGAAAUGCACAGAUAUAACUGAUGAUCCCUUUAAAAUGUCCUGCAGUAUUCUGCGCUCUCCCAUCCUUCAUCUUUCUUCCUGCUCCUGUCAUUAAAUGUAACAUUGCCAAUGUAUAUUUUAUAGGGUGACCCUGACGGAUGUCACUUUGAUGCUGAGCAGAGAUAAUAAGAUUGUGCAUGUAAUGAAGGGCAGAUAAAUAGAAAAAUGUUUACGAGAUGGAGAAUGGUGGUUUUAACAGCUUUAUGGCUCUUUCUUUUCCUUCUCUCUUCUCCUUUACUGGUGAAAUUGUAGGUUAGUUACAGUAACUAGAAAACAGUGAAAAAAAGUAUGAUGACGGUGAUAGAAGCUUAUAAUAGUGAAAUCCCACUUGCCCUGUUCCUGAACUCCAAUGAAAUGAAUUCAAGAAAUAAUGAAAUCCUCAGCUUAUGGAGAAGAAAAGUGAUUUCAAUAGAUGGGGGGAGGGGGGAAUAGAAACACUUGAGGAGUAUGCUUAGCUUCAUGGCAAAAAUUGGAAACAAAAAACCCAAGGUUUGAAUUAUCUUUUUUUUUUUAAAGGCUUCUUUGUUUUCUGAGCGCCGAUACUAAGGGAUGCCUUUAUCACUAUAUAAUGCUUGGCUUGGGCAACCCAGAUGUUGUGGGCCAAGAUCUGACCAAUAGAGAUAUUUGUGAGAUUUUUAAUUAAUUAAUUAUUUAGGAUUAAUGAUAUUCUUCUAGUCAGGGUAGGUUUUUUAUUUUGUUUUGUUCUAGCAAAAUUUUAAGCAGUUCUCAUUGCUUCGUCUGUGCCCUUGUUAUGGGUACAGGAUGGUCUAGAUGACAUCAAAAUGACUCAGUGACUCCCUGCUACAAGUAUAUGAAGUCUUUUCCGCUACUGAGCCCAGUCCCUGGCCUUUUAAGGAUUCUGCUUUGUCUAGAUGAGUAGAUAGCUUUCCUAUGGAAAUAUUUCUCCCUAUCCUGUAGACUGGGGCAAGGGAAGCCCAGGUGAGUCUAUAUCCAUGAUUCCAUGGCAUAACUCUGCCAGAUUUAGAAAUAAACUAGAGAGCUUAGCUUAGCAGCUCUGCUCUUGGGACUGGUGCUGAGACCUCUGGAACCUAGAGUAGUGGAGAGGAGCAGCAGAGGAAGAUUGUGGGGCACACAGACCCAACCAGUGCCAUACUUCUGGAUUUAGCCUGGGAAAAACUCAAGGUUAAAAGACAUUCUACCCUGCACUGACUUUCCCAAAGGCAUCCAAAUGAGGAACCUCUAUAGGUUGGGGUGGGGUUACAAGUGAGAAUAUUUAUAAAAAAGGAACAGUAUUACAAUUACUAAAGAUUUCUGAAUAUGACAUUUUUGAAUAUUACUUAUCUUUGUAUAUUUUGUGUCCUUAGUUGAAUGUAAGCUUCUUGAACGCAGGAACUGUAUUUCAGACUCGGGGUACUCUAAAUAAAAGUCAUUAUCUUACACAGCCCUGUCAUCCUUGCAGUUCACCACUUCCUAACUUCCCUAUGGCACUACCAGUUGCCAGUUUCUCCUUAGCACAACUUGUUUAUACUUUUCACAAGCUUUCUUGUGUAUGUCACCUCUCCACUCAUUCAUAUAGUUUCCUCUCUGGUGAAGGCACUCAUUUCAUCACACCUGGUCAGUUAAUCUUCUAACAGGCCUCCCUGCCUCAAGUCUCUGCCCACUCCAGUCCACCCUCCACACUCGGCUUCCAAAAUAAUCUGCUUAAAACAUGGAUCUGACCGUGUACCAUAUCCGACCCACAUCACUCGGUAAACUACAGUGGCUCUCUACCACCUCCUGGAUGAAAUAGAAAAUCUUCUUUUGGACUUACAACAACAACAACAAAAGCCCUUACCUUCUUAGUAUCAGUUUUAGACAAGGGCUAGCCAAAUGGGGUUAGAUGACUUGCCCAAGGCCACAUAGCUAGGAAAUGUCUUAGGCCAGAUUUGAAACCAGGUCCUCCUGACUUCAGGCCUGAUGCUGUAUCUACUGAACCACCUAUCUACCCCCUUUGGGACUUUUAAAGAUCUUCACAACCUGGCCCUUUCCUAUGCACCUAGCAGUCCUAGAGGCUAUAAGCACUAUACAAGCAAGGCACUGAUCCAGGAAAAUUUCUUCUCUACAGGAGAAUUUUCUUGGUGUUUCUCCACUCCCAGUUUCCUUUCCACCCUGCGAAUGCUUGAUAUGCUCCCCUAAUAUUACCUUCUUGUACACACAAUUGUUUGCCAUUAGAAUUUGAACUUCUGGAGACCAAGCAUCUCCACAUGUUGUUACUUUUCUUUUCAUCUCAGAGCUUGGCACAGUGCUUUACACAUGGUAGGCAUUUCAUGAAUGCUCAUUGAUUGACUGUUAAAUUAGUCUGUACCUACAAAUUCUUGGAAGAAUGCUCUGUUGCACAGGAACAAGUGAUACUUUUUUUGAAGUAAAUAGCAAAAUUUCCCCCAAAUGCUUUGGUUUCCAAGAUAAGUGGCUUGGGAACACCAGUAGAUAAAUUGUGUUGCUCAUUAAUCAGUACUGCUACAUGGUAUGCCCUAUCCUGUUGCUUAAUUAGAACAUAGAUAAGCCUAUUUAUCAGAAUUGACAAUAGUGUAUAGUUUGGGGAUCACAAGGAUAAAAUAGCUAAAAUUAAAAGCAGCUAGUAAUGUGUAAAAAGGCAAAAGCUGAAUAUGUACCAAACUGUUGGUACAGACUGCUUGCUUCUCUUCUUUCCCUGUCUAAUUCAGGUCAAGGAAAUCUGUCAGAUUAAGCCCAUUAACACUUUCUUUUUUUCCCCCCAUUUGAAUUAGUUUAUUUAGUCAAUUUAGAACAUUAUUCCUUGGUUACAAUAAUCACAUUAUUUCCCUCCCUCCCCUCCAUCUGCAGAACAUUUUCUUAAUAGUAGUGUAGAAUUUAUCUGGGCAUUAUUAAAUACCGUUACAGGGAAUUUGUUUUCUCUCAUUUAAACCUCGCUAUUGUCAGUAUGUAAUGAAAAUAUGAAAAAUACCUUCAAGAAGGAAUCUUGGAAUUUCAGUACAAAGAUCUCUAGAAUGUGGUUGAGUUACUAGAAUCAGGACUGUAUUACUUAGAUAGUUUUGCUGUAUGUUGUUGGGUGUUUGGGGUCUGUCAGUUCUCUGGUUUUCUUAACUUUAGACUAUCCUUAUUUUUGCUUUCUAUUCUGGAGGUUUUCUGAGAGUAAAAAUAGAAAUAACAAUUCCAAUUAAGUCCUUAGUUCCUCAGAAAACUUGCUAACUCACUAGAAUUUCAAGAUGUUACUCUUUAUCCUUCCUGAUGGGGGGUGCGAGCUGAUUCCCAUAGGAUUGGGGUCCUUGAUUCCUGAAUAGCAGCUGCCCCUCUUUGCAGAGGCUCUCCUGUAUGUUAAGAGUUAGGUCACUGGGAAUUCUGGAGCAUUGUUUCCCUUCCCACCCCACCCCCUUUUUCCUGUGGGUGCUAUGGUUUGUUUGGAUGAUAAUGAAAAUAGAAUGUUAUAAAUAAGAACUAAUAUGGAAAUUGUAAUGCAUGAUCUCUGCGUGAGCCAGCAUGAAAGCAGCUGAUUCUAGUGCCUUCUCUUCCCUGAACUAAAUUUCAUUCAUCUUAAAAUUGGUCUUAGAAUAAAGAAACCAAAGCAAGAGAAUCUUUUUGCUAUGGUCAACAAGGUAAAUUCUGGAAACAUACUUCCACAGAAAGACUUACGAGACUAACCCAGGCUUUUUUCUUCCUGGCAUUCUUGAUAAGACCACCUUUAUUUCUCUCAAGGAAUCUAUGCUAUGUACUCUGUUCCCCCUAGCACGCCUAGGGAAAAGGAGGACAUGUGGCUUACUUUACUUAAUUUUCCCCCCCACAUUGGGAAGAGCAGGUUACUGCUUCUCCCCUAAUGAAGUACUGUUGAGGAGAAAUUAAACAGCAAUUUUGAUGUUUGUUUUACCCUAACCAGUACUUUUAAGGUAAGUUGAUAAGCAUGAAUGAUAGCCAUCCCAGGAAUAAUAUAUAGCUUUUUCUACCAGGACUGUCAGAAGCUCUCAGAUCAAGACACACAUGGGCACUUACUGUUGAUAGUUUAUUUACUCAAGGCAAGACAAACGAGGGGCUACACACACUGGCCCAGCAUGUACUUUUGUAUCAUAUGUUUGAAAAACAGCUAAAAGAGAUGAGAGAACCAGGCACGGCCACACUGAUGAACAGUGGGAGUGGAGGUGAGAGAGACACCGGGAGCGCUCCUGCUUCCCCUAGGUUGUGCAGGGAAUUGAGUGGUUUAUAUGUCUUGCCCUAGACCCGGCAUUUUAUGGCGUUAGCAGUCUUGGUUGAGCUGCAGCAUAACAUAGAGGGGCAGAGAAAUGAAAAUGGGGCCAGAGGAGAGCUGGUGCCUUGUGCCAAGGAAACGCUUCCCUUCUUCCCACGCACACUCCCCCCAGCCUGUGAUCCCAUACGGCCUGUUAGCAGUGAUGUCGGAUUGCAGAAACUAACUGAAAUUGGAACUUCUCCCAGUGUCUGGAGCCUAUUGUUAACUGAAUUUCACUGUACUUCACUACUACCAUCUCCCCUCUCACCGGGGAGAGAGCUGAGCUGAGAGACACCCCGCCCUCCCCCCAGUGGGUCUCUUUUGUUUAUGGUAUUUUUGGUUUUAUCACCUAUCUUCCCCCCUCCCCCAUCUUUCUUUCUUUCCUUUUUUUUAAGGAACAUCAGAAAAGUGCAAUUGUGUUAUUUCUACAAUUGUGAUUGCUUGGUGCGUAGAUUAUGUUGGGUGAAGGGAAGAGUUACAGAAUUGACAACUGAUAAGUCAGUAUAUGAGCAGAAUAUCUUCAUUUGCUUGAUGACUUUUAGUGGACAAAAUGAUGAAAAAAUCCAACCCUGACACUGUUGAGCAUUGUGUAUGCCUGUGUCUACAUGUGUAUUUGUGUGUGUUCUUAAAUAUUUGCUAAAGAUAGACUGGGAAGGAGUACUUCUCUUGACAGGAACUGCUCCCCAGAAUACUGGGGAUUCCAAAUGACCUCCUUUUUCUCUCUCCACCCCCCUACCCCCUUCCUGGGCACUAAACCAGUCUGGUUCUUCAUGCUGUUAGCAAUUAUAGCCCAGAGAUAUAAGAUGUGUUGACUGGAAGACCUUGUUGUGAGAUGAGGUGAGAUCACCAGGAACAAAAUGAUCAUUACAGGCCAUUCAUGUUGACAGCAUUUAUGCCUCUGUGUUUAGUUGUGAGCAAAAGCAGAAGCUAAUUUGCAAGGUUGCCUUUGUAAAGCGAGCUUUUGAUCAAUGAUUGCCUGUGUUAAUGUUUCAGUAGGCUAUUGAUUUCUGCAGCAGCUUUUGUUCCCUGAAUUUAUGUGCAAUGGGUCUCUGCAGCACACACUAUGCAUGUUUGAUGAAAGUUGAAUUGACUUUACUCCCGGAGAGGCCAGGAGCUCUUUCGCUCCCUAUUUGUAGAACCAAAGCUUUCCCAACAUGUUCUUUUGUUUGUGUUCAAGACCUGCCACCCAUGUAGUCACCAAUAUGCUCUUUCUAAUCCUCCCAGAUUCACUCCAUUCCAAUGUUUAAUCUCUUAGGUAGACAUUACAACAUUUAAAGUCAGACAGCUAAUAAAACCUGGCCUGGAAUUUUUAUUUAUAUUGUUAUUCUUUCUCAUCAACUUUCAUUCUAAACUUGACCUAGAAGGGUCUUUCCAAAGUCUGUAUUUAUCAGUUUAAGAUCAGUGGUAUUCAGAUUGUGAAAUCUGCUAAGAAUGCUUUGUUAGCUAUUUUUAAAACUAUGCCUGUGAUGUUGAUGACAUUGACCUUUGUCUGCUGGUAAGCUCAUUUCAUUCCUUUGGGUUCUUUUUUGAAUGGACAGAAGGCACAUUUGCAGUUUAGGAUUUGGACUUCUUCAUUCUUAGAACUUUUCCAUUAAAUUAGAGUAUCAUCUUGGAUGAAUUAUCUAACUGUCUUUGAACAUCAGCAUUUCUCUUACAUAAUCUAUAGAUACAAUUUGUGUUGUAAAACCCUUAGAGAACUCUGCAAAAUCUGCUUUAAUUGAGUGACUUGAGUAAUUGACUCUCACUUCACAGUCAAUUUGCUUUGCUGUGGCCUAUAGUCACUUGGUGGUAUUUUUUCUUUGUUUUUAUGGGAUCCUCAGUCUUGUGCUCCAGGGAGUUUCAAAGACCACGCAGGGAGGAAAUGGAGGCCCACAGAGGUGAUAGGCAGGCACCACAGACCUAAGGAGGAUCAGAUCCAGAGUUAAUGCCCCUUCCUUUUCAAUCCAAUGGGAUAAUGUCUGUAAAAGGGACCUAAGCACAGUGCCUGACACAUAGUAGGUGCUAUAUAAGUGAUUAUUUUUCUUCCCUGCUGUGCCCACCCCUUUACCUGAUUUUCAGCUCCUCCAUCCCAGCACUGUACGCUUAAUCCAGUUCUUCCCCAAUGACAGCAGUUCUAGUUGGAGGGAGCAAAAGGAAGGCCAGCUCUUUUUAUUCUCUCUAAUGGAACAGAAUUCAAAAUAUAGGAUUAAGAACUCAAGUUUUGCUUUGCUGGCACAGAUGAGUGGUCAGUGGAGUGAGUACUUCCGGGGUUUUUUUUUAACUUGUUUAUUUUUGAAGUUGAGGUAAGUGAAAGACACAGUUUCUUUUGGAGGCAUUGGGGUUGUUCAAGAGGGUAGCCUGGUCUGAAGGACAUUCGGUCCGUGAUUUCUGAUAGAAGAGGAGAUGAGUGAUUUCUCCUUACCAUUUGUCUUCAAAGACAUUUUCAUCUCUUAAUUCAUUUCCUCAGUUUCCAAGGUAAGGAGGGAAGUGCUAGGAAGGAGAUGCAGAGGUUCUGCAGUCAGCACUGUGAGAUCCUUUGAUAGACCACCCAUCCCCUCUCACAGCACUUAGAGUGUGCAUGUAUGUGUGUGUAUAUGGAUGUCUAUGUCCCUAAACAUGUAAUAGCCAGGAAGAGACAGGUUUGCUUUCAGGGACUAAAGAUUAGGUUUUACCCUUCCAUUUUCAUCUCUUUGGAAAGUAUGUUUCACAUCUUCAUUGUAGACCGCAGAAUAGGCCCCACGUCAUUCCCCAGAAUUUUGAAGAUGAAGAAACAGAAGUGAACCCUAGAGGGGCAAAAUGACUUCUCAGAGCCACCAAAGCAAGUCAUGGGAUUGUAAAGCAGAGAGCUGAGGCCAGGGAUAGGCCGGAGAAGAGUCAGCCUCCCCCUUGCGAACGAAAGGAAGGUGACAUUUCCUGCUCACAGCAAUACAGAGCUGAACGCAGCCUAUUUCUUUGGUCUGAUACUGCCUCUGAGUAAGGAACAUGUCAGGAUUGAGCCUGGAUUGAGGUCUCCCUGGGUGUUGCUCCUUGGACACAUCGCUCACAAGGCCUAAAAUUGUUACUUUGUAGUUAUUGUUCUGUCUCACCUCCUCACUUGAUUUCUGAAUCUGGAAAUCAUGAACUAGAUGUUUCCUAUUUGUACCUACUAUGUUCAGGUUCUUUGGUGCUUCAGUCUAUAGUUGUUCCUCAUGAGUAGCCAGUGACAUGUUAGAAAUAUCCAUUUAGGCCUGCCCUGAAGCAACUUAAACAUUUUAGUAGGAUGAAUAGAAUUGUGACAGUGACAAUAGCAUUUGGUGAAAGGGGAAUGAAGAAAGAGCUGGCUUGUGGACCCAAGCCUAGCUGCAUGUACGCACAUAUGCAUAUAUGCCUGACACACAUACACCUCACUUUAGCAAUUUUUAACCAUUCAAAGUUAUACAAGAAUUUGAAGGAUAAAGUCUUCUGUGACAAAGUUUCAUGUCUCAGCUGAGCAGUGGGAGAUAGGGUGAAAGAACACGUUAGAAGGCCCCAUGCAGACAGCUAGAAAGUGAAAAUAGGCUCAACAGCAGCCUCCACCAACUAGUAGUCCUCUCUGUUUAUAUACUCUUUUUUUUAACUCCUUAUUUUUUGUCUUAUAAUCAAUACGUGUUUGGGAUCCAGGGCAGAAGAGUGGUUGGUAAAAGCUAGGCAGUGAAGUUAAGUGACUUGCCCAGAGUCACAUAGCUAGGAAGUGUCUGAAGCCACAUUUGAAUCCAGGACCUGGCUCUCAGUCCACUGAACCACCCAGCUGCCCCAUCUGUGUAUUCAGUACUUCUUUCCCCCUGGGAUUUCAUUGAGGCCGUUACUCUCUUCCUUCCACCAUGCAGCUCAGCUCCCCUGUCCCACCUUAGUAGAUUGUCUUUAUUUUUCUUUAUCUUUUUAAAAAUUUAUUUAUUUAGAAUAUUUUUCCAUGGUUACAUGAUUCAUGAUUUUUCCCUCCCCACUCCCAGAGCUGACAAGCAACUCCACUGGAUCAUACCUGUAUCAUUGUUCAAAACCUAUUUCCAUGUUAUGCAUAUUUGCAAUAGAGUGAUCUUUUAACAUCAAAACCCCAUUCAUAUCCCCAUCAAACCACAUAAUCAAGUAGAUUGCCUUUAAAAGUUGUUAUGGUCCAAAAAUCCAUCAUCUUGCAGCGUAUCAUGAUGAACCUGUCUAGAAUUGGCGAGGCCUAUCCAUGGAUGACAGGCAUAAUGUCUGUGUCCUGGCUUGUAUUUGACAUCUUGCUUACUUGCUAUGACCUUCACGAGUUUUUGUUCUCCUGUCACAGCCUUUGAGAACCCAGGCUCAUCAGUGUGCCUUGAUGAGGCGUCAGAAUAGUGUGCGCGCGCAUGAAUAUUAUUAGGAAGAUUAAGUGAUAAAUCAUACUCUAAGUAGAAUAGAAAGAGGUACCACCAUGCACAGAACAUUCACUUUGGGGUUAGGAAGACCUGAGUUCAAAUUUUGCCUCAGACACUAACUGAUUAUGGCCUCCUGGCAAAUCUCAGCCUUAUUUUCCUCAUCUGGAAAAAUGGGGUCAAUAAGUAGCUUCUACUUCUUAGGAUUGUUGUGAGGUUCAAAUGUGAUAAUAUAUGCAAAUCGCUUAGAAAAUCAUAUUAAUUUAAUGAAAGUAGAAGGCAUUGAGGAAGAUAGUGAAUAGAUAAGCGUGAAACAGAGAUAGGAUAGGUAAUGAUGUCAAUAAAAUGGAGAGAUUACCCAAGGGGCAGAGAGAGGGCUACUAAAAAGUAGGAUGAGAUUGUAGAUUUUGCCUUCAACUUUUCUCUAAGGUUGGGACUUCCAGUACACUGGGGUCAAAGGAAUCCUGGUAGAUCAUUCUGUUCUGGGGGCAGGCUACCAGAUAUUUUAAAGAUACCUUUAAAAAGCAAAUUUUAUGAAAAACAAAGUCCUUGUGAUAAACACAUAUAAUUAAGCAAAAUAAAUUCCCACAUUGUCAGCCAUGUCCAGAAAUUGGUUUUGUUGUUCUUAUUAGUUCAUGAUCUAGCUGUUCAAAGGUAUAGAGUAUCCUUCACCAUCAAUUCCUCUGGAAUUAUUGCCUUGAUCAGACUUUUAAAGUAUUUUUCAAUUGUUUAUUUUUUUAUUAUUGUUACAAUAUGAUAAAUUGUUCUCUUCUGUUUACUUCAUUCUGUUUCAUUUUUAAUGUCUUACGAGAUUUCUCUUCAUGUGUCUUUUAUUCUCAUUUUUUAUUAGACAAUAACAUUCCAUUAUAUUCAUAUACCAUAAUUUUUCAGUAGUUCCUCAGUCAGUACCUCCCUUAAAUUAAAAUCCUUUCCCCACUACAAAGCAUUUUCCUUUCUUUGAUCUCUUUUGGGUAUAUCCCUUAUAAUGAUAUCAGUGAAUAAAAGACAUGUAUAAUUUUCUAGGCAUAUUUUCAAAUUGCUUUUCAGAUAGGUUGAACCAAUUCACAACAGUAUGUCUUGUGGGGGGUGGCACUGCCAUUUUCUUGCUGUGGCAUUACCAAUAUUUGAAAGUUUUCUAGUUGACCAUAAAGGAAUGGAUUGUACUUUUUUGGUUUAUUUGUUAACCUAUAGGCUCAGAUAUAAAAAAGGGAGUGAGGUAACUAAGUCUAUACUAAUGCUGAAGGUCCCAUAGUGAAAGACUAGAUGAGAUAUUAUACCAUUUUGUAGUAUCUUUUAUCUCAAAAUCUUAAAUUUGUAAGACAUUUUCAUUAUCAUAUGAGCUUGACUUGAAGUCCUGAGGCUGUCAAAUAUUAAAAUUUUUCAUAUUUUAAACCAAAAUGUGAAGCAUUUUUUGAGUCCAACUCCUCCACAUUCAUGUUGAAAUUCUAGAGUGUACAGAAAAGAUCAAGUUUUAAAACCCUGUAUACAGUAACAGCAAUAUUGUGAAAUGAUCACAACAAUGCUACUACCAGCAAUUCAAGACCCUGAACAAUUCUGUGGGACUUAUGGAAAAGAAUGCUAUCCACUCCCAGAACUGUUGGAAUAAGAAUGCUGAUGGAAGCAUAUGAUUUAUCAUUUAUUUAUUUGGGUAUAUGUUUUGGGGGUUUUGGUUUUAUGAGAUUAUUCACUUACAAAAAUGAAUAAUAUGGAGAUAUGUUUUGCUUAAAAAUACAUGUAUAACCCAAAUUGAAUUGCUUGCAAGCUCAAGGAUCAGGGAAGGAAAAAGGGAGGGAAACAAUUUGGAUCGAACAACUUCUUAAAACUCAUAUUGAAAUUUGUUAUUAAAAUAAAAUUAUUAAAAAAGAAAAACUCCUAUUUUGAUAACUUCUUUUAACUUGAAACAAAAACAUUCAUUAGUACUCCUAAUGUGAAGCUUCAUAAAAUAGUUUUACUUAUUUAAUUUAGGAUUGUCAUCAGUAAGUAAAUCUUCUAAGAGAUUCUUUGAGCUCUAGUUCAAGUCAUGGCACCUUUUCCUGUAUACUCUGCUUUUUUUUUCCUCUGUGCCUUUGCCUUUGACAUUCCCUGGAAUCCUUUCUCACUAUGUUUGUAGUUACAUCUUUUUAAAUCAAAGAAAAAUCUAUGUACUUGAAUUGUGUGUGUGUAUUUAUGCUGAAGUUUAUAUCUUUCUAGAUGCUUAUAUAAACAGAUGUUUCACAUAUAUAUAUACAUACACACACACACAUAUGAAUAAAGCUAUCUCUUAGAGAUCUAGAUUUAGAGCUAAGAAAAUGUUCCACUUCUAUCAUAUACUGAUUGUGGCAUAAAUUAGUUAAGAUUUGGUCUAAAAGAUGACAUUGGCUUGAUGAUCUAAGAUUUAUGGCAUAAAUUACUUAACCAGGCUUCAGGUUAUUUCUGUACAGCUUUCUUGGAUUCUAAGUUGCAAAGAAGGUGCUCCCCUGCAUUGGUAUAGGAUUGGCCUCACCUUGGGCUUCCUAUGCCAGUAAAAUCUGAAGUCCAUUUACUAUUUCUCAUUUAAAACAGCCCACAGUGAGUUGGUUUUCAGUGAAUCCAUUUGUUUCUGGAGACACAUACCAGCUCGUUACUCAGUCUGCAAAAUGAUUCCUGCCUUUUUGUGGUAACUAUGUAUUUGCAUUCUUUUUUGUUUUAUCCAAAGGGCCUGGUUUGUCCCCCUUUCUAGAGUAACAUAAAAGGAAUGAUUAAAAAAAGAUUGAAAACUGUUUAAAAAAAAAAAGGAUGGAUCAGAAUUCUGUGUCUUCACCUCUUCACAAUUUCCUAGGAUUCUUAUUUGUCUUUUAGAUCAUCAAGCCUAUGUCAUCUUUUAGAUUAAGUCUUAACUAUUUGACUUAUAUUGGCUUUCUGAUUAAAAUGAAAAAUUUAAAUGUGUUAGAUUGCCUGGUACUGUUCUUCAUUAAGUCCAACUAUUUGCCUCUUCCUAAUAGAUCUACUUUCCUCGCUUUAUUAAUGACAGUAUUUAUGGCCCUAAUGUAUUUCCUCCAUAUUCCUUAUCCUAGUGAUUUGUUUCUAUAAAGUAUUUAGUUGAAAGAUUAAGUCAAAUUAGCCAGAUAUCUUCUAGGAGAUUUUCAUGCUUUGAGUUGCCUCAUACUUUGUUUGAGCCAAGAUCUAGAGGCAUGUUCUGUCAGCAAAACCCAAAACUCCACAAAUGUUUGGUUUCAUUAGGAACGCAUGGAAAGAAUAUAAUUUUGGUGUUACUUUUUCUUUAUUUUAUUUUUUUCCAUCAGUAAAAUCUUGGUUUUUCUUCUUCCUAUUCCAACUCCUUCCACCCCAUUGAAAACAAAAGAAAAAUAAAAGCCCUGUUAUAAACAUGUAUUGUCAAGCAAAACAAAUUCCAUUUCCAAAAAAAAAAAACAUGAUUCAUUAUGCACUGUUGAAUUCUUUACCUCUUUGUCAGAA